rnacentral:rRNA from 1 species
GUGGGGAAUCUUGCGCAAUGGGCGAAAGCCUGACGCAGCCAUGCCGCGUGAAUGAUGAAGGUCUUAGGAUUGUAAAAUUCUUUCACCGGGGACGAUAAUGACGGUACCCGGAGAAGAAGCCCCGGCUAACUUCGUGCCAGCAGCCGCGGUAAUACGAAGGGGGCUAGCGUUGCUCGGAAUUACUGGGCGUAAAGGGCGCGUAGGCGGACAGUUUAGUCAGAGGUGAAAGCCCAGGGCUCAACCUUGGAAUUGCCUUUGAUACUGGCUGUCUUGAGUACGGGAGAGGUGAGUGGAACUCCGAGUGUAGAGGUGAAAUUCGUAGAUAUUCGGAAGAACACCGGUGGCGAAGGCGACUCACUGGCCCGUUACUGACGCUGAGGCGCGAAAGCGUGGGGAGCAAACAGGAUUAGAUACCCCGGUAGUCC